rnacentral:rRNA from 1 species
UACGUAGGGCGCAAGCGUUAUCCGGAAUUAUUGGGCGUAAAGAGCUCGUAGGCGGCUUGUCGCGUCGACUGUGAAAUCCCGCGGCUCAACUGCGGGUCUGCAGUCGAUACGGGCAGGCUAGAAUUCGGUAGGGGAGACUGGAAUUCCUGGUGUAGCGGUGAAAUGCGUAGAUAUCGUAAGGAAGACCAGUGGCGAAGGCGAAUCUCUGGACAGUUACUGACACUGAGGCACGAAGGCCAGGGGAGCAAACGGG